CAUAUUUUAAUCUUUAUUCUACGUCAUUAGUGUCCCUUCAGUUAUAUAUUUUAUGUCUUUCAAACAUUAUGAUAGAUAGUGAACUUCUAAUGUUUGGAUUUUCUCUGUUAAUGUCUGUAUUAUUGUGUUUGUAUUGAAACUUCCUCUGUUUUUGUUUUUGUGCUAACCGGCUUUCGACUACCUGCAUCAACUAGUUUGAGUCCACAUAUGUGCCGUGUCAAAGUGACGACUUUCUGGAUAUCUUGAGCGUUUCCGAAUAUUUUCUGGAUUUGGGUAGUCAUUAAGUUGACGAUCACGAAGAAAUAAAGCGUACCCAUGUGAGAUUUGGUGUUUUUUUCUCAUUUGGGUCUGGUUAAUUUGGUCGAUAUCUCGUGGAAUCAGUCAAGUUCGAUGAACUGGUGUUAGUGUUAUGCUGGUCUUUGGGUUGUCUAUUGCAAUGGAUUGAAGGUGUGAUAUAUUCGUGGAAUGAGCGUAACAAGAUGAGCUAGGUGUUUAAAAAUGGAUACAAAGGAAGAUGCCGAAGUGCAAGAUGAGCUGCCUUCAUCACAGAUGUUGGUAUUGCAGAGUAUUUCCGAGGAGGCUUUUAGAGUGGCAGGUGAACCGCUGCAUAAUGUGUACUCAGGUAAUUCGAGCUUCCCACCACCUGUGCUGGGGCAGGGAUACCGACGCAGUCAAAGUGAAAAUGUGACUACAGCUCCCAGAUGUAAUAAUAGCUUGCAGAGACUGAAGAGCCAUAUGCAGAAGGCUUGGAAAUGGGGUAGCAAUUCUCGUGGAGAAGAUUGCAAGCGCAGUUUCAAUCCUGAAAUCUUGGCGGACCAAAAACGCCAGUGGUAUCAGUUUCACACAAAAUCUCCGGACCAUAAAAAAUAUAAGGAGCCUAUUUCAUUAUUUGAAAACUUCAUUAUUGCGGGGCUUCAUCCAGAUGCUAAUCUUGAGGUUGUGGAGGAUGCAUUUGCUAAAAAGAAGAAACGGGAGUCAGAACUGACGAAAUCUGAAAUAUUAGAUUUUAAAAUGCUGCAGCAUCGGGGGCCUUCAAUUCCAACGUUGGAACCUCAGGUACUUUUCAAGUAUCCUCCUGGAAAGAAUCCAGCAUUGCAUCUGAAGGAUCUAGCUGCCUUCUGUUUUCCUGGAGGGGUUAAGGCACGUUUGAUAGAGAGGACUCCAUCUUUAAGUGAGCUAAAUGAACUUGUUUAUGGACAGGAGCAUUUAAACAGAGAUGAUUUAGCGUUUAUUUUUUCACUUAAGGUGGCAAACAGUGCAACACUAUAUGGUGUUUGUUUACAUGUUCCUGAAAUUGUUCAGAGGCCACCUGGUAUCUUAGGCAUCUCAUCACCUCUUUCUCAUCCAUCUGGAGGAUGCAGGCGUUUUUUGGUUUCUGCUCCUCGUUGCUAUUGCGUGCUUACAAGAGUUCCUUUCUUUGAGUUACAUUAUGAGAUGUUGAACAGUAUCAUUGCACAGGAGCGACUGAAUCGAAUAACAAAGUUUGUCCGUGAACUGAGUCUUGCUGAUUAUGUUCCUUCGAUAACCAAAUUAAAUGAUAAAAUGAAUGGGAAUGAUGAUUCUCCUGAGAGGGAGUCCUUUAGUGAUUGGAUGGCUUCUGCCAUUCCUGUUGACAGUGCACUGGCCCUCACUGCUGCUGCUGCAGGAAUUAUACCUGAUGAUGAGAUCCCACCCUCUUCUUCGAACAUGUGGGAACUUCAUUCCCCUGAAAGUUUUACCAUCAGUGAGGCUUCAGAUUCUAGCCAAGUUAGGGAAAUGGACAAAGAUGGUAUUAAGAAUUCACAGUAUCUUUAUGAGUGUGCUUUGGAGGCCUCGGAAACUCAUUCAGAACCUUUGGAAAGAACUUUUGGAUACUAUGAAAAUGGUCAAACUUCUCCGGAGGUAGAGACAUCAUUCUCCUGUAGGAAUCCUGCACUGGAGCGUCUUGGGAGUUCUGAAUCCUUGUUCAGUCCAGUUAGAAGCACCACAUCAGAGAAUAAUGAUGAUGAAACUUUUGCAAAUGGUGAUAAAGAUAUUGGGUAUGACUUAAUAAUGGAAUGGGCCAAGGAGAAUAAGAACGAUUUGCUACAGAUAGUUUGUCGAUAUCACACUCUUCCUCUUCCUGCACGAGGAAGUGAAUUAGUUUUCCAGCCUCUUGAGCAUUUACAGGCCAUUGAGUAUCGGCGACCUCCAGUUGCUGCCCUUGGCUUACAUGAAAACAAUUUAGUCUCACUUGAAGCUGCUGAGGUUGAUGCAAAGUUGGCGGCUGCUGAGGAAGUUCUUGCACUAUCAAUAUGGACAACUGCAACUAUUUGUCGAGUGCUCUCCCUUGAAAGUGUUUUGGCAUUGAUUGCAGGAGUAUUAUUGGAAAAACAAGUGGUAAUUGUGAGCCCAAAUCUGGGUGUUCUAUCAGCUAUAGUGUUGUCUCUCAUUCCCAUGAUUUGGCCAUUUCAGUGGCAGAGUUUAUUGCUUCCUGUUCUACCAGGAAGGAUGCUUGAAUUUCUUGAUGCUCCAGUUCCUUAUAUUGUUGGCAUACAACAUAAACCUGAUGAUUUGAAGAUGACAACAUCAAAUCUUGUUCAUGUUAAUGUGCUCAAGGACCAGGUGAAAAUGUGUCAUUUGCCAACACUUCCCCGACAUAAGGAGCUUGUUUCUGAACUGGGGCCAAUCCAUGCCAGACUUUCACAUGAAAGUGCAAUUGCUACAAGGCAUCCUGUAUAUAAGUGCAAUAAAGUGCAGGCUGAAGCUGCAGCUGAGUUUUUGAAUGUCAUGAGGCACUAUAUGGAGUCACUUUGCUCAGAUCUGAGGUCUUAUGCAAUAACUAGCGUACAAUCAAACAAUGACAGGGUUUCUUUACUUCUUAAAGACAGCUUUAUUGAUUCCUUUCCUAGUAGGGACAGACCAUUUAUCAAGGUAAUUUUGCGUUCUUCAUUUUAUUUGCAAUUUUGUUCCUGUGGGAAGCAGUUUAGUCAUUUUCUGUGAAGGAACGAUGAAUUCUGACCAAAUGAGGCACAAAUACAUACCUUUAUUUGGCUCAAGUGAAGUAAUAUGAUAUCAUCAGCAUCAGCAUCAUUGUCAUGAGUAUGGAACAUAGGCAGGUUAAAUUGAGACUUUUAUAAGAUGACAGGCAGUGCCUGUGAAGAGCAACAAGGUGUGGGGCUAGAGAGGAUCCAUAGCCAUUUUUAUUUCAUGCAUCCACACAAACUAGGAAUCUACUGUGAAUAGAAAUCGAGAAAAGAAAAACAAUUGCAGAAGCCUCAGUACUGAAACAAUCAACAAAUAAUCAAAUCACACGCAAAGCUAUUUACAUGGUUCAGCCUUUGGCCUACUUCCGUGGGCAAAAAGUGCAAGAAAACUUGAUAUUUACAUUGGCUACCUAUUUCUAACACAUCUUAUCUCUCUGACACAUGCACACACGUGUGGCUAAUCUGUUCUUUUUUUUUUACUCAAGAAAAGGUUGGGUCAGGCCAAUCCAGUUCAGUUCAGAUGCUUGGAAGCAGAACCCCAUUAUGUGGGGUUUAUUUGCAUGCAUAGGGUCAAUUUAGUGGGUUGUGUCGAAGAUGUAGAGUCAUAAUUUGUUUCAACUUCUCGGGCAUUGUUUCUAUUGGGUUGAGUUGAGAACGUAAAGUCAUAAUUUGCUCCAACUUCUUGGGCAUUGUUUCUAUUGAGUUGAGUUGA